GCCUACAGCCAUUUCACCCUAAACAUGCCCAAUCUCGUCUGAUCUCGGAAGCUACACAGUAGAGCCAGGCAUGGUGGUGCAUCCCUUUAAUUCCGGUACUUGGGAAACUGAGGCA
rnacentral:rRNA from 1 species